rnacentral:rRNA from 1 species
UGGGGAAUUUUGCACAAUGGGGGAAACCCUGAUGCAGCGACGCCGCGUGAUUUAGCAGGCCUUCGGGUUGUAAAAAUCUUUUCUAUGGGAAGAAAAUGACAGUACCAUAGGAAUAAGGACCGGCUAAUUACGUGCCAGCAGCCGCGGUAAUACGUAAGGUCCGAGCGUUGUCCGGAAUCAUUGGGCGUAAAGGGUACGUAGGCGGGUAAGCAAGUUAGAAGUGAAAUCCUAUAGCUCAACUAUAGUAAGCUUUUAAAACUGCUCAUCUUGAGGUAUGGAAGGGAAAGUGGAAUUCCUAGUGUAGCGGUGAAAUGCGCAGAUAUUAGGAGGAAUACCGGUGGCGAAGGCGACUUUCUGGCCAUAACCUGACGCUGAGGUACGAAAGCGUGGGUAGCAAACAGG